UACGGAGGAUCCAAGCGUUAUCCGGAUUUAUUGGGUGUAAAGGGUCCGUAGGUGGCUAUGUAAGUCCGGUGUGAAAUCCCACAGCUCAACUGUGGAACUGCAUUGGAAACUACAUGGCUUGAAUACCGGAGAGGUUAGGGGAAUUCUCGGUGUAAGGGUGAAAUCUGUAGAUAUCGAGAGGAACACCAGUGGCGAAGGCGCCUAACUGGCCGGUUAUUGACACUGAGGGACGAAAGCAAGGGGAGCAAACAGGAUUAGAAACCCGGGUAGU
rnacentral:rRNA from 1 species